GACGAACGCUGGCGGCGUGCUUAACACAUGCAAGUCGAACGGAGUGGCGAACGGGUGAGUAACACGUGGGUGACAUGCCCUGCACUUCGGGGUAAGCCUGGGAAACUGGGUCUAAUACCGGAUAGUGUGGGAUGGGCCUGGGGCCUAUCAGCUUGUUGGUGGGGUAAUGGCCUACCAAGGCGGCGCCGGGUAGCCGGCCUUGGAGGGUGGACGGCCACAUUGGGACUGAGGCACGGCCCAGACGCCUACUGUAGGCAGCAGUGGGGAAUAGUGCGCAAUGGGCGGAAGCCUGAUGCAGGGACGCCGGGUGGGGGAUGACGGCCGUCGGGUUGUAAACUCCUUUCACCAUCGACGCGGUAGAUGGAGAAGAAGCACCGGCUAACUACGUGCCAGCAGCCGCGGUAAUAC
rnacentral:rRNA from 1 species